AAUGACAACGAGCUACAAGGUAAUCAAAUUUUGCCUACUCAUUCAACAAUGGCUGGCAUGUUUCUGUUAUAUUCUCUAAUUUUAGGGUUUGCCCUGAAUGACACCAGAUGCAAAGGUAAUCAUGUAUGACACCCAAGAAACAGAGCAUAAAACAGAAGAAGAACGCAAGAGAGACCAUAGAAACGCCCUGAGGAGGGCUUCCUAUCGGCGGAAGAAACAAUAUAAUGUUCAAGUUGAACAUGCACAGACCCUUCAUUUAUCAGGUAAGCUUAUAAUGAUUUAACCAUUAUGGUCAGAACCGUCUUAAUAAUUAAGCAUUAAUAUGUGUGGACAACUUAGGUUCACCAGGCAAUCCCACUAGCUCUAACUAUACAUCAUUCUCGCGUGAUGCGCGGACAUUUCCUGAUACAACUACGGUCUCAUGUGGGAUCGUUAAUGACAACGAGCUACAAGGUAAUCAAAUUUUUUCCUACUAAAACAGCAAUUGCUUGCAUCUUAGUGGUAUGAUCUCUAAUUUUUGGGAAUGUGUGUAAUGGAUCCAGAUGUGAUUUUGAAUGACACACAAGAAACAGAGGAAAAAACAAAAGAAGAACGCAAGAGAGACCAUAGAAACGCCCUGCGGCGAGCUGCUUAUUGGAGGAACAAGGAUAAGCAUAUCAAAGAUCAAAACAAACGUCCAUCUGGUACUUCAGACGACCUGAAUAGCCCUAGCGUUACAGAAUUAAUGAAAGAGGGAGCAACAUGUCCCCCUUCAACUUUACACGCGUCUGUCAUUCAAGACACUAUUCUAGCUAGGAGGCAAAGUGACAAUGAGCGGAAACGUAAUUCAACAAACGAGCAAAGGGAGGCGAAAAACGCAAGUAGCAGAGCAUGCCAUCAGAAGAAAAGUGACGAAUUAACGGUGGAGGUUAGAGAAACAAAGAAUGAAAAAAUACGCGUGACUCGCGUGCAGCGCCGCAAAAGCAUGUCGGUGAUUGAGAAGGGGGAGUCAAGUGCACAGAGGAAGGCCAAUUAUGAAAGAAGGAAAAAAACACCGUGCAAAGAAUGCAUCGCAAUCCCCCUUACAAACCUUGCAAACUCAACCUCUGAAUGGCCCACUUCCCCAAGCCGCGCAUCACCCAUCUCUAGGGCCGCAAAAGAUGAUUCAUCUGAUGGCGAUCCGGGGACGAACAUGCCGAGAUACUCUGCCGGUGCUGAUGAAGACAUCGAUGUAUUCCAAAGCGGCACCAUGGGCGAUGAGCAGGAAGCACACGACUUGAUUCAUGAGGAGUACUACAUGUUUUGCAACGAAGGAUCCGAUAACGACAUAUUGGAUGAUGACGAGGAAGCGAGCAUGUCUAGCGCUAAACCUAGCGAGAUUGAUCCAUUUGACACUGUCUACUCAAACAUUCCAGACAACACUCACAUCCUGAAAGUCGACGAAAAUUGCAAACACUGCAAGGCCAGAAAGUUUGAGUCUGAGACUGACGGCUUCUGCUGUCGCAAUGGCCAGAUCGAGCUUAAGCAACCGGAACCAAUCCCAGAGCUUAUGAGGCUAUGGUCCAGCAUGGAUGCAGAUUCUAGACAUUUUCGGGAGAACAUACGUUUCUUCAACGGGCAUUUCGCCUUCACAACCCUUGGGGUCAGCCUUGAUGAAAACUACACUAACAUGAAGUCUGGGGUGUACACAUUCCGAGCACACGGUACCAUCUACCACAAUGUCCAUUCGUUCGGGCCUAGCUCCCGUCCAGAACAUCUGCAGUUGUACUUCUAUGACGACGACCCUAACCUAAAUCAUCGUAAGGCGGCCACCAAGCAAUUAGACCAGGAUGUCGUGAAGAGGUUAGUAGACAUACUCAAAGAAAACCCAUACUCCCAGCAAUUUAGGAGUUUGGGUGCACACAAGGACAACCUCAAUGAUUAUAGGAUAGACCUAAACACCGAUAAGAGGCUUGAGAUAUAAUAAACCGGUGUCAUCUGAAGUCGCUGCAAUUUGGGUUGAGGGCACUGACCUAGCAAAAAGGUUUGACCGCAGGAUAACACUUUGUGGUAACAACAACGAAAGGCAUAGUAUACGUGUGACCUCAGGGGCAUAUGACCCGUUGUCUUAUCCAUUAUUCUAUCCAAUGGGGGAGCUAGGUUGGCAUCCGAAGCUACCCAAACGUAAUGUUUCUUGGGAGGUUGUACAAAAUCCUCGUUUGUGUCAUGAUGACGAAGAUGAUGCAGAGGGGAAUAGCAGGUUAUGCGUCUCCGUUAGAGACUACUACUAUUACAUGCUGCAAACACGGCCUGCGAUCUUCAAUCCAAUACUUUGUGGAGCACGCCUACUGCAGCAAUGGGCGGUUGACAUGUACAUCAAGAUUGAGAGCUGUCG